UCAGGCUGAAGACCUUACCCGAUUAGCUGAGAGGUGGUGCAUGGCCGUCGUCAGUUCGUACUGUGAAGCAUCCUGUUAAGUCAGGCAACGAGCGAGACCCACGUCCACAGUUGCCAGCAUACCCUCCGGGGUGAUGGGUACACUGUGGAGACCGCCGCUGCUAAAGCGGAGGAAGGAGUGGGCAACGGUAGGUCAGUAUGCCCCGAAUCUCCCGGGCUACACGCGGGCUACAAUGGUUGGUACAAUGGGCAUCUACCCCGAAAGGGGAAGGAAAUCUCUUAAAGCCAAUCGUAGUUCGGAUUGAGGGCUGCAACUCGCCCUCAUGAAGCUGGAAUCCGUAGUAAUCGCGUUUCAACAGAACGCGGUGAAUACGUCCCUGCUCCUU
rnacentral:rRNA from 1 species